CCCUGUAAGAAAAUGAAGUAGCAAUAAUUAAACAUCAGACCAUCACUAAGCCUCUGACUAUAUCACUUUAAUAAGUCAUGAUAAGCUACCUAUGAAGUCACUUUCUCACAAUGUUAACACAGAAAUGCUGUCUUUAAAACAAUGAAGUACCAGUAUAGUUUUCUAUAUGUAACAGACCCUACAUAGUCUAUGCAUGUUUUUCUGUGAUGAAGGGUUAAUUUUAAGUAGCUAAAUUUUCUUUCAGCAGUUGGAUGACUCCUUACCUACUAUACUAUAUAUGAAUAAGAUUCAAAACUGUAAUUUAUUCAGCAAAUUUUCAAAACCUCUUUCUUUUCCUUAACUGUGGGAGAGCUAUAGGGUAAGUCCAAACCGAUGGUAGAAUCUUGAAGUGGCUAAAGUGCUGUUUCCCAGUGCCUUUCCCUAGGUCUGUGCCCUGAGUAGAGUGAUGAUGGCCUCAGGGACGUUCAGCCUAUUACAGAACUGAUAGAUACUCCACGCGGCAGUCUUCUCUCCUGGAUGACCAGGUACAAAGGGUGCUGAGUUACAGUCAGACUAGACAUUAUCCACCCGAGUCUUCUGUCCCUGCUCUCAGAACAGCAGUUUUCUUCUGCAGCCUCCUUUGUAUCAGAGACCAGGGAUACACAGUGGGUACCAGCUGGAGGCAAAGGGUAAAUGGCUGCUCCCUCCCCAGAUUAUCUGUGAUCUGCUCAGUGUUCAAGCGCACGAAUGCUCUUCCUGAGGUGGCUCCAUGUGGUGUCUGGCAGCAGGAACUCCCCAUCCCCACCCGGAGGCCCUCUCACAGGAGACUUCUGUCCAUCUGUGUUCUGCUUUGACACCACCCCUUCUGCCCAAUCCUUGUCCUUUGCAUCGCGGUAUUCCCCAUAACCCUCUUUUGUUUCUAAUUCCACCUCAACAGCGGAGUCUGCAAUGAGCAAUUCUGUAAUUUCAAGUUUAGUACAAGUGCUAUGAGCUAGAAAGGGCAGGGAAAACAGUUUCUCUUAGCCCUACACACAUCUUGUACAAACUUUAGGCCGAAAACAGGACCAUUCUGCCCUACCUUCCCCUAGCCUCCCUUCCCCUCUGCUUCCAGCUCUCCUCCCCACUUCCAGGGUUUUAGGCCUUAACUUCACUGGGUUAUUUGUUGAUGGCAAAAACCCAUAGAAUAGGAUCUGUCCAGAUGGAAAGGAUUCAGGGAACUAUCUAUUAAUUUUAUUUUAAAAAUCAUAACCAUCAACAUGUAGAAACAUUCUUAGAGUAUCAGACUAAACGUGAAAGUUACCUUCUAAGAAAUAACAAUUUUAUUUAUGUUGUGACAUAAAUCAUGUAUCAUAACAUAUGCAUUUUAAAGUGUGUAAUCCAAUGUUUUAAGUAUUAUCAGCAGUUUAAACACUUACAAACCGCAAACUGAAAUCUUAUGUUACUAGCAGUGCUUCCUGAUCCCCACCGUCAUCCUUGGAGGUUACACAGUAUGUGGUCGUUUGUGACCACUGUGUUCUCAAGGAUGGUUUAUGCUGAAGCAUUUAUUGGCACAUCAUUCUUUAAACUGCCAAAUAAUACUUCAGAGCACAUUUGUGUUAACAUUAACCAUCUCAUUAACAGUUUCUAUUCACUUCUUGGCUGCUAGGCAGAAUGAUGCUGUGAACAUGUGGAGAUGUUCUCAGUUCUUUCAGGAAGUUACCAAGAAGUCACACUCUGUGGUGGGCUCCUUCCCUCCCUUCCCUUGUCUUCCCUCUGCCCCUGAGCCAGGGUUCCUCUAUUUGGCCCAGGCUGUCCUUAGAUUCACUAUGUAGCCAAGUCUAGCCUCAAACCUAUGAUCCAGAAUGCUAGGACUCCAAGCACAUGCCACCAUGCAGGGAACCAUGGAGUUGGCCUGGUCUAGCUUGUCUCUAGAGGCUUUUCAGGUUAGAGUUCAUGGCUUGUAGGACACUGCGUGCCUUUCAGUUCCUGAGAAAUGGGGGCACUCCCUCAGGCAGUGAAACAUUCAGGCCACAUUAUGACUGUCUAUAGUCCCUAGAAGUAAACGAAGCACCUAGAAGUGUGAUAGGACAAUUAAUCUUAGACAUUACUAUUGGGUGCCCUUUAUCGCUUGCAGAUGUCAUUGUAUCCUGAGAACAACCAUUAUAAUAAUCCGAGAGGCCACCAUUAUACUGUUUCUGAUAAGGGUAUACAAAGUCUGAUUGUGUUCAAUAAACAUGUAAUAGCCUUAGUCUUACCGUGACCCUUCAGGUUGUUCAUGGUCAAAAUUCGUUUCUCAUUGGCCCUCAGUUAACCUUGGCAGAGUGAGUGCUGGUCUUACCUCACCACACUCGCUCACAAAAUCUAUCCUAAAACUAAGACUAGUACAGGGUUUUAUACUUCUAUUAGCACUGUAGCAAAUUCCCAAUUUCUCUACAUUCUUAUCAGCACAUAGCAGCUGCCUUUCUAUUGGAUUUCUCACUGGUACGAAGCAGUAUCUUAUUCUGAAUGGAGUAACUCUUUAAGAUAUAUCUUCUUUGGAGAACUAUUUUUGAAAUUGUUUACAUCCUUUAGAAAUUGAAGCAUAUGCCUUUAUACUGCUGGGCUCUUUCUAUAGUCUAGGUACAUGCUUUUCAUAAGAUAUAUGAUUUGAAAGCAUUUUUCCUCCUAGGUAUUAUUUUUACCUUCUAUAUGUUGUCAUUUGAAACUCAAGCUUUUAAUUGUUUAAAAUUUAUCUACCUCCUUUUCUUUUUGCAUCUGUGCUCAGAUCUAAGAAAGCACUAUCGCUAGGACACAAGGAUUUUCUUCCAGUUCAUGGAAGUUUAGUACAGUUUCCUUCUUUGGUAAGGCAGGACCUCAUUUGGCCCAGGCUGGCCUUGAACUUGGUCUAUAGGCAAAGAAAACUUUGAACUUUUGAUCCCCCUGCUUCCUGGUAUGGUACCAUGUCAGAGCUAUUUGGUGCUGCGAUCAAAUGAAGGAUUCUGUGCAGUCUUGGCAAGAACUCUUACCUGAACUAUAUCUCACCACUAUUGAUUACUGACUACGCUGUGUCUAGCUGCGAAAUGCUUGCGUUUAAGCUGCUUGGAGUCUCCUGUCCUAUUUUAAUGCACAGAUGAGUAUUCUCAUCAAAUUCUGGGAUAUUUCUGUUCUUUCCCUUUGCCUCCCACUCUCUCUCUUUUCUGGGUUCCCACUGUGUGUACACUGAUAUUACUAACGGUGCCCUGCACAGUUUUUCUUCCAUUAGUUUAUCUUUACUGUAUCUUUUCAUCCUCCAAGUGGAUACUUUGAACUGACACAUAUUCAACUUCUGAGUCCCUAUUCUGCCAGCACAAAUCUAAUGUUGGACUUCAGAAGUAAAAAUUUCUGUCUAGUUGUUGUACUUUUCAACUCCUGAACAUCUGAUUCUUCAAAAAUAAUUUAUGAUGUUUACUCUUUGGUGAGGCACUGUUUCCAUUUGUUUUGUUUUUAGAGUGGUUGAACACCUUUAUAGUAAUAGGGUCUUUUUCUAGCAAGUCUAAUGUGGAUGUUUCUUACCAGACAGUUGGCUGACUGCUUUUACACAGGUAUGAGCCAUAUUUCCCUGUUUAAUGUUCUGCAUACCUAACAAUUUCAAUUGACGAUUAGAUACAAUAUAAAGUGGUGACUCUGGAAAUCAGGCCCCAUACUGAAAGACCCCAGCUUAGCAGCAGUAACGCCAUUUUGCAAGGCUGUACUUAAGAUGACUGGUUCAGAGAAAGGUUAAAACACUGAGUACACAGCGGCUGCCAAGCAGGAUGUGUUUGGUUGAAGGCCUGGCAACAGGACGACUUCGGUUGAACACCUGACAAUGAAAAAAGCCCCGGGAGAGGUCCCACACCCUGGUGGGGGGCCGAGUCAGCCGUUAUGUUCCAAGAAGGUAGCUAAGAAACUUGCCCCCGGGCUGAACCCUUGGGGGGCCGAGUCAGUCGUUAUGUUUCAGGAAGGUAGCUAGGAAACUUGCCCCCGGGCUAAACCCUUGCCAUAUUAGAAUCCACCAAUUAUAUCCCUGUAACCAUGCAUCUGCUUCUGUAUGCUUGCUUCUGCUCCCCAAAAUCCUAUAAAAGCCCAUCCUUGGUUCCGUGGGGCGCGCCAGUCCCCCGAGUGACUGAAGCGCCCACAGGUGCCUGUGCCUGUGUAUCCCGACAAUAAACCAAAUCCUCUUGCUGAUUGCAUCCUGUGGUGUCUCGGUCUGGUCUUUGGAGUUGGAGGGUCUCCAUCCCGAGGGAAAGUUCUCCCUGAGAGCUUUUCAUUUGGUGCAUUGGCCGGGAAAGGAGAUCCUCCACCCAGGGACCACCGACCACCCACUGGGAGGUAAGCCGGCCGGCGUCUGUCUGUCUGUCUGAUUUUGUCUCGUUCUGCCUUAUUCUGUCUGUUCUGUGAGCGCUCGGCCAGGUCUGUUCUGUGAGCGCUCAGCCAGGUCUGUUCUGUGAGCGCUCAGCCAGGUCUGUUCUGUGAGCGCUCAGCCAGGUCUGUUCUGUGAGCGCUCAGCCAGGUCUGUUCUGUGAGCGCUCAGCCAGGUCUGUUCUGUGAGCGCUCAGCCAGGUUGUUUGGAAUUUGGGCGGGACGAAGAAGGAGCUGAGGAGCUCGGACUUCUCGCCCCGCAGCCCUGGAAGACGUUCCAAGGGUGUUGGGGCCCGACUUUUCGGGGCCCAAUCUGGGAGAGGAGAAAGAUCCGGACUAACGGCACCUCUGUCUGUAUUUUUGGUUUUCAGAGGGCCCCGGACCUUUGCCACCUCCAUCUGACUUUUUGCUUUCAGUUUGGUACCAAAGCCGUGCAGCACGCCUGUCUGUUGUUUGUUUGACUGUUGGUGUUGUUUGUUUUCUCUGUGUUCUAAUCUUCCUUAGAACUAACAUGGGACAGUCCCUAACAAUGCCCCUAAGUCUCACUCUUGAUCAUUGGGAAGACGUCCACGACCGGGCACACAACCAGUCUGUCGAGGUUAAAAAAAGGAAAAUGACAGACUCUCUGCACAUCCGAGUGGCCCACUUUCGGAGCGGGAUGGCCAGUGAAUGGCACAUUUAAUAAGAUCAUUAUUUUACAGGUUAAAGAUCGGGUCGUCCACGGACAUCCUGACCAGGUUUCUUCUCGCCUUAAACCCUCCCCCUGGGCGGAACCCUUCGUGGACCCGAAUUGGCCUCCCCUCAACCCCCAGCCUGUCCCCUCGGCCCCGCCUGGUCCGCCGGCCACGUCUUCCUCUCUCUACCUUUGUGAAAUCAGAGCCUUCUAAGAAACCUGUCCUCCCGGCAGACCCAAACUCCCCUCUCAUAGAUCUUCUCUCUGACAGGCCCGGCUAAAACGGAGGAGGCAGAGCCGCCGGCCAGAUCAGUUGCCGGGCCACAGUCUGAUAAGGGUUUCUCCCCUGUCGCAGGGAGAUUGCGCAAUAAGCGCGAGGUGAUGCCAGAUUCAACCUCCCAGGCUUUAACCGGUGGCCAGACCCAAUACUGGCCGUUUUCAGCAGCUGACAUUUACAAUUGGAAACAACACAACCCUUCUUUCUCCAAAGAUCCGAUGGCACUCACCGACCUAAUAGAAUCUGUUUUACUUACCCACCAGCCUACUUGGGAUGACUGCCAACAGCUCUUACAGGCCCUCUUAACCUCAGAAAAAAAAACAAAGAGUGUUCCUAGAGGCCAGAAAGCAUGUUCUGGGAGAUGAUGGGCGUCCCACCCAGCUGCCUGAGGAAAUUGAUGCUACAUUCCCACUUAAGAGACCAAACUGGGAUUUUAAUACAGCUGAAGGUAAGGGACACCUACGCCUUUAUCGCCAGUUGCUUCUAGCGGGUCUCCGAGGGGCUAUACGACGCCCUACUAAUUUGGCUCAGGUAAAACAGGUAUUACAGGAAGCAGGGGAAACUCCCUCCGCCUUUCUAGAGAGACUUAAGGAGGCCUACCGUAUGUACACUCCCUAUGACCCAGAUGACCCAGGACAAAUGACGAGUGUCUCUAUGUCCUUCAUCUGGCAGGCUGCUCCAGAUAUCAGGACUAAGUUACAGAGGUUAGAAAAUUUGCAGGGCUAUACAUUACAGGAUUUACUUAAAGAAGCUGAAAAGAUUUUUAAUAAGAGAGAGAUAAAAAAAAAACAAAACAAAAAAUUGAGUCGAAUCUUGGCCGCCGUAGUUCAGGGCCAAAAAAAGGAAGGGAGAUAGGGGGGAGCUCGAAAGGGGCUGAAGCUGGAUAAAGAUCAAUGUGCCUAUUACAAAGAGAAAGGGCACUGGGCCAGAGAGUGCCCCAAGAAGCCUGGCGGACCCCGAAAGCCUCGACCACGAACCUCCCUCUUGGCUCUAGAUAAAGAUUAGGGAGGUCAGGGCCAGGAGCCCCCCCUGAGCCCAGGGUAACGCUUAAAGUUGGGGGGCAGCCGGUUGCUUUCCUGAUAGACACAGGAGCCCAGCAUUCAGUCCUCACUCAAGCUUCAGGACAACUCAGCGACCGGACGGCCUGGGUACAAGGAGCUACUGGUGAGAAACAAUACCGAUGGACUACGGACCGCCGGGUUCAGCUGGCUACUGGUAAGGUGACCCAUUCCUUCUUACAUGUUCCGGACUACCCGAACCCUCUGCUGGGCCGUGACCUGCUCACCAAACUAAAAGCACAAAUUCAUUUUGAGGAAGGAGGGGCCCAAAUAACUGGCCCCCACGGAACUCCCCUUCAAGUUCUAUGAAUAUAGACUAUAUGAACUGGGACAGGACAAGCCACAAUCCCUAGAAAUAGACACUUGGGUCACGAAUUUUCCACUGGCUUGGGCAGAGACUGGUGGGAUGGGGUUGGCGCUCCAACAGCCCCCCUUAAUUAUACAGUUAAAGGCCACUACAACUCCAGUCUCCAUAAAACAAUACCCCCUGUCACAUAAAGCUUAUCAAGGUAUAAGGCUUCACAUUACGAGGCUUCUAGAUCAAGGCAUCCUAGUCCCCUGCCGGUCGCCUUGGAAUACGCCUCUUCUGCCUGUUAAGAAACCCGGCACUGGAGCUUAUAGGCCAAUACAAGACUUGAGAAAGGUCAACAAGAGGAUAGAAGAUAUUCAUCUGACUGUUCCAAACCCUUACAAUUUGCUCAGUAACUGUUCAUCGAUGAGAAACAGGGGUAUGCUAAAGGGGUCCUAACACAAAGGUUGGGACCCUGGAAACGCCCUGUGGCCUACCUGUCUAAGAAAUUGGACCCUGUGGCCUCCGGCUGGCCACCGUGCCUAAGGAUGGUGGCUGCUAUUGCUGUCCUGAUCAAGGACACUGGAAAAUUGACUUUGGGACAGCCACUCACCAUCCUAACACCCCACGCAGUGGAGGCCUUGGUAAAGCAGCCCCCAGACCGCUGGCUCUCUAAUUCUCACACCAAGCCUUGUUACUGGAUGCAGAACGGGUUCAGUUUGGGCCCGUAGUCACCCUCAAUCCUGCCACCUUGCUUCCUCUACCAGAGGAGGCAGAACAGCAUGACUGCCUACAAGUCCUCGCAGAAGUACAUGGAACCAGGCCGGACCUAUCGGACCAGCCUCUUCAGAAUGCUGACCACACAUGGUACACGGAUGACAACAGCUUCUUGGCAGAGGGAGAGCGAAAGGCUGGAGCUGCGGUCACUACGGAGGACAAAGUGAUUUGGGCGAAAGCCCUGCCUGCUGGUACCUCCACACAACGGGCUAAACUCAUCGCCUUGACUCAGGCGCUCAAGAUGACAAAAGGUAAGAGGCUAAAUAUAUAUACAGACAGCCGUUAUGCCUUUGCCAUGGCACACAUCCACGGGGAGAUCUACCGGAGGCGGGGGCUGCUCACAUCUGAGGGUAAAGAUAUGGCUAAAAUUCUGGCCCUCUUAGAAGCCCUAUUCUUGCCCAAAAGACUGAGUAUUAUACAUUGUCCAGGACACCAGAAAGGGCACAACCCAGAGGCACGAGGAAACCGGCUGGCCGAUGCCACGGCGCGAGAAGCGGCCAUGAGCAAACAAAUCUUGUCCUUAAAUAGCCCAGACCAACCCACGCCCCCACCAGUGGGACAAACCAGUUGGGUUUACGCCCAUGAGGACAUAGAGCUCCUAAAAAAAUGGGGGCCAUCUACCACCCUCAACUAAAACAGUGGGUCUACAAAGAAAAGACAGUUAUGCCAAUGAAAAUGACUUUUGAAUUGAUCUCCUUUUUACAUAAAUUAACCCAUUUGGGGUUUAAGAAGAUAAAAACCUUACUAGAUCGGGAAGAGAUAAAUCUGUGUUUUUUUUUGAAUCGGGACAAAGCGAUACAAAAGGUGACUGAGAGUUACAAAGCGUGCGCUCAGGUUAACCCGGAAAGGACCAUGAUUGGACAAGGAGUUCGUCCUAGGGGACACCGUCCCGACAUCCAUUGGGAAAUUGAUUUUACUGAAAUUAAACCAGGUAUAUAUGAAUAUAAGUAUCUCCUAGUGUUUGUAGACACCUUCUCAGGAUGGGUCGAAGCCUUCCCCACAAAGCACGAGACUACAAAAAUGGUCACUAAGAAGCUCCUCGAGGAAAUCUUUCCCAGGUAUGGCAUGCCUCAAGCGUUGGGGUCGGACAACGGGCCCGCUUUCGUCUCCCAAGUAAGUCAGUUGGUGGCCAAACUGCUGGGGAUUGAUUGAAAAUUACAUUGUGCCUAUAGACCCCAGAGUUCAGGUCAGGUAGAACGCAUGAAUAGAACAAUUAAGGAGACUUUAUCCAAACUUGCGCUUACAACUGGCUCAAAGGAUUGGGUGGCCCUCCUUCCCCUAGUUCUAUAUCGGGCCCGGAAUACCCCGGGCCCCCAUGGUCUAACUCCUUUUAAAAUAAUAUAUGGAGCACCACCCCCAUUUGUCCAUUUCUUUGAUUCAACAUUGCUGAUUUUGCUGACAGCCCUUCUCUGAGGGCCCAUUUACAGGCCCUACAGAUUGUGCAGAGAGACGUCUGGAGACCUAUGGCCACUGCUUACCAGGACAAGCUUGAACAUCCGAUAGUGCCACACCCGUUCCAGAUUAGAGACACCGUGUGGGUGCGCAGACACCAGACCAAGAAUCUCGAGCCACGGUGGAAAGGACCCUACACCGUCCUCCUGACUACCCCGACCGCCCUAAAGGUAGACGGAGUCGCGGCUUAGAUCCACGCACCACACGUCAAGACAGUCCGGUCUGAGGAAUUGACUAAUCACAACACUACACCCCAGACAUGGAGAGUUCAGCGCACUCCAAACCCCUUAAAGUUGAAACUCCUACGUGGCUCCUCCUAGCCCUUUUGUGGCCUAGAGUCAGUGAGGGAAUAAGCCCCCACCAGACAGAAAUUUCUUGACCAAGUCGAGUAAAAGAUUUCACUCAAAGUUAGCAAAAAAAAAAAUGGGGGAAUGAAAGACCCCAGCUUAGCAGCAGUAACGCCAUUUUGCAAGGCUGUACUUAAGAUGACUGGUUCAGAGAAAGGUUAAAACACUGAGUACACAGCGGCUGCCAAGCAGGAUGUGUUUGGUUGAAGGCCUGGCAACAGGAGGACUGCCGUUGAACACCUGACAAUGAAAAAAGCCCCGGGAGAGGUCCCACACCCUGGUGGGGGGCCGAGUCAGCCGUUAUGUUCCAAGAAGGUAGCUAAGAAACUUGCCCCCGGGCUGAACCCUUGGGGGGCCGAGUCAGUCGUUAUGUUUCAGGAAGGUAGCUAGGAAACUUGCCCCCGGGCUAAACCCUUGCCAUAUUAGAAUCCACCAAUUAUAUCCCUGUAACCAUGCAUCUGCUUCUGUAUGCUUGCUUCUGCUCCCCAAAAUCCUAUAAAAGCCCAUCCUUGGUUCCGUGGGGCGCGCCAGUCCCCCGAGUGACUGAAGCGCCCACAGGUGCCUGUGCCUGUGUAUCCCGACAAUAAACCAAAUCCUCUUGCUGAUUGCAUCCUGUGGUGUCUCGGUCUGGUCUUUGGAGUUGGAGGGUCUCCAUCCCGAGGGAAAGUUCUCCCUGAGAGCUUUUCAAUACCACUCUAUCUCCUGAAUCCAUUAUCUUGCUAUCUGUUGCACUAGUGACUUUAAUCAAGUAAUUCUAAAGUCCAUCUCCACUCUGCAUUGUCACUAAAGUCUUUGCUUGGUUACUUUAGUGGUCUAUAAAUAGACACGGUUUUCUUUUCUUAAACGUACUGAGUCAGUAUUCAGUCUUUGUCAGGCUUCUGUGGAGGUUGUACUCUUCCUAUCCCAGCAGGGGUAUCGAACAGAAGAUAAAUUUAAGAGCUCAAAGAAUUUUAUCCAGAACCUAUCACAAAAGAAAUUAAAAAGAAGGGAAGGAUCUACCUUUGGUAAAUUUAUACAAUAGAAUUUAUAUAAUAGAGUUUAUUUACCGUCCAAGUUUGGAUUACCUACCUCUUGAGACCUUUGUGGGAGCAGCUUUAUGUCUUUUAUUGUCAUUGCUUUUUCCAGACAGGAUCUCUCCAUGUGGCCUUGGCUGUUUAAGAACUCACAGUGUAGAGCAGGCUGGCUGCCUGUUUCUGACUCCUGAAUGCUGGGAUCAAAGGCGUGCCCAACUGGGGGAGUGGCUUUUUAAAGGCACAAUUACAAUGACUUCCCAGGACUUAUGACUGUGCAACUAACAUGGCAAGAAGUUUUGCAGGUCUGAUUAAGGUCAGGGUUUCAUGAAUAAGAUAUUUUGGGCUGUCACUGAUGGGCAGUCUAACCAUGAGUCCUUAAAGUAAAUGAGAAAGAGAGGAUCAAUUCAGACUUCAGUUUCUUGGGUGUAUUUGAAGAAAAUGAGAAGCAGGAGUUUAAGUGGGUCUUGACCUGGACUUCAUAAUGCUGCACAACUAGAGUAUGGAGAGAGAGGACACCUUUCGGAAGCCAGGAACAGCCACUGGUUGACGAAGGCAAGGGAACGGAGCCCUUUAUCCUAGUUACAGCAGUUGAAUUCUGCCACUAUUGCAGAUGCACAAGGAGACAGACUCCCCUGGAGCUCCUGCCCCGGGGAGUUCUGCUAUUGAGACCCAUGGCAGACUUCUGACCUAUAUAAUCACAACAGCACACAGGAUUCUAAAUCACUAGAUCUGUGGGAAUUCUUUGUCAUCAGAAGAAAACUUUGUCCAAACUUUCAACUUACAAAGUUAUCUGUUAUAACUGAACAACCAACUCACCUUCUGUAUCUUUAGUUCUACAAUUCUUAUUUUGUAUGCUCUAGGAUUUUCUUUUACUCAUACAUCAGAUUUAUUGAACUUAGAAUUACUUUACUGUUUUAAAAAGAUUUAUUGUUAUUUUUAAGUGUGUGUAUAUCUGUCUGUCUGUCUGUCUGUCUUGGUAGUGAAUAAAGGUGCCACUAGAAGAUGGAGACAUUGGAUCACCUAGUGCUAGAGUUAUAGGCAGUUGUGAUUUGCACCAUGUGCGUGCGGGGAACCACGUAAGGGCCCCAUGUAAGAGCAGAGCAUCCUCUUAACCACAGAGCCAUCUUUCCAGCCUGCUUCAGUGCUUUUAACGGAACAGUGUUUUGCUUUCACUGACAUAAUCUGGUUUCUGUGUGGUUCAUCUUACCCUGUACUUCCUUUUGAUGAUCUUUCCUACCUUUUAAAUUGUACAGAUAAUUUAGUUAUUUUACUGUCUUGCUUGUUAAUAAUUACAUUUCUUCUAGGUAUCAUUUUAUCUUUCAGGUUGGUAUGUAGCAUUUUUUGAAGAUGGCAUUAUCACUCACUUCUCAUUUCCUUAUCAAUUCCUCUAGAGGAUUAAUCCUACUUUUCUCAGUGGUGAGGUAUAUAUGUGUAAGAUAAAGGGGGCCUCGGGAAUAGGGAGACUGAACAAGACUGGAAAGAAGCUAUGUCUGCAAAUGUGGAUUGACUGAUUAGAACUUCGUGAUGUGGAGAGGUGGGAAUAUUUCAGGUCCAGAUGUGAGGAGGUUAGAAUGUUGCAGGUUAUAAUUUAUCUUCAGCUUCCUUAGCUGGAUAAAAAGCCAUUCUCUAUGUGACACUUAACAUCCUUGGACUAACAGAUGAAAGCCUGUUAGGAUGGUCAAACAUCAUCUGAGGCCAACAGUUGAGAUUUCUCCAUUUUGCCAUAACCACCUACUUAAUGUUUCCACCAAUGUAUUUGAAAAGCACCUUAAUUUAUGGUUUUCUUUGUCCUCUUUCUAUGAAAACUCCAUGAGCCUGGCUGGAUCCCUGGAAGCGUUGGGACAUGGAAUUUGAGGCAACUUAAGUCUGUGUUCCCAGGCUGUGAAUUCAUAUUCGGCUCCAGAGUAAAUGCUCUCUGAUCCCUCUUUCUGAGACAGGAGCAUGCUGUCCUCCACCCACCAGCUGACUCAGACAGAUACAGGGACCCACAGCCAAACAGCGGAUGGAGCUUGGGACUCUUAUGGAAGAACAGGAGGAAGGAUUGAGGCCUCUAAGGGGACAGGAACUCCACAGGAAGACCAACAGAGUCAACCAAUCUGUAUCCUUGGGAAUCUCAGAGACUGAACCACCAACCAAACAACAUACACAGGCUGGAUAUGCAGCUUGGCCUUCGUGUGGGUCCUGAGCGACUGGAGUGGGAGUUAUCCCAAAAACUGCUGCCUGGUCGUGGCCUAUGUUCCUCUAGCUGGGCUGCCUUGUCUGACCUCAGCGGGAGAGGAAGCACCUAGCUCCACAGAGACUUGAUGGGGCAGGGUAGGGGAAUACCCAGGUGGUGGGGCACUUCCUCAGAGAAGGUGAGGGUGGAAUGGAGGAAGGACUGUGAGAACAGGUGACAGGAGGUGGGCAGUGAGCAGGAUAUAAAGUGAAUAAUUUAAAGAAAAUUUAAAAAAUAUAUUGUGUUUUUUAAUUGAA